rnacentral:ncRNA from 2 species
UAUAUAUUUUUACAUCCAGGAACCCUUCGGGGUUUAAUAGGGAAGACGGAGAGCCGUCGCGGUCCCGCCGCUGUGACCGGGGACGAACCCUGCACUAGGCCACUGUUCCACUCAAGUGGGAUGGGAAGGCGCAGGCAUUAGGUCGAUCCGGGAGCCAGAAGACCUGCCUGGAGGUCUGACGCCCU